rnacentral:lncRNA from 1 species
GGGUAGAAAGGACUGCCAAGCAGAGAAAGAAACAUGAAUCAGAACCAGCUAAUACAGGAUGGGAGAGUACAUGUGCCAUUAUCAAACACACAGAGGAGUGAAUAAGAAGCAAAGGAUAUUGCCACGGUUUCUACGGGACUGAACAAAGGGGGACCCACACAGGAAUGAAAACUUAAAACAAAACAGCCACUAAGGAAGGCGCAGAGGGACUUCCUUUCGGCCUGAAACAGUAUCUGUGCUGCCAAAAGACAAGGUCUUGCUACAUUGCCCAGGCUUAUCUCGAAU